ensembl:lncRNA
CUCCCGCCGUCCGUUAAGGCCGCAUCUCUGAGGCGCUCCGUCCGGCCCGGCCCGGCUCGGCUCACCUCGGCCCGGCCCGCGGGCGGCGGGAGGAGCCGGAGGAGGACGCGGGAGCCGCCGGUGACCGCGAGCAGCGCGGAGGGGAGGAGGCUGGGUUCUGCGGGGCUCCGCCACCCCGUGUGGUUCUGCCUGUGGAUGGGGAGCGGCGCAGAAAUGCUCUUCCAGCCUUUCAGGUCUAAAGGUAAAUGAGAUGGUUGCUUAUUUCUUUGCCGUCGGGGUGUUAUUCUGAACGGAGCCGGGUGCUUUCUGGAGGGAUUUCGAGGCUGAAGUGUUUGUGUUGGUGUGCCUCGGAGCUGCUGUGUGUGAACGCGAAGGAAGCGGGGCAGGAUUUGUGCUGCUCUGCAGUUUCACGUGGAAGGUGGAACUCGGAGAAGGCACCC